UUAAGCCCUCCAUUAACGCCUGUGAAAUGACAGGAGAUGGAAGCAGGACGGACAACAAUGCAAGGCCUGAGAGGGGCUGCAAGAGUAAACUUGAGUGUACGUGGAUAUCAUCAGCCACAAUGAGUAUUCUCAAGGUGUUCAUUGUUGCCCUUGUGUUGUUUGGAACCAGCUGUCUUUCUGCAAAGAUAAAGAGACAACUGCCAGCCGAUACAGAUGCUCAACCAGAUGAUGAUGUUCGGUCACUUCCAUUAACAGCGAGGUCACCACCUGGUCCAUCUCCAGGACCACCUGGGUUUCCAUUCUUUAAGCAAGGG